rnacentral:lncRNA from 1 species
UGAUGACUGAGCGAGAAUCUUUGACAAAUGACAGUUAUAGAACAAAGUCUUGUCAGGAUGCAGUUACUUACCAAAUCCCUAACUUUUGCCUAGAUUUCCCCAGGAUGAGGUAGUCAAUCUAGCGGGAUAUAUAUUCAUUUUUUAUGUCUCUCACUUUUUCCUGGAUCGCCCUUUCGGGUUUUCAAUCCACCGAGACACUCAUUUUUUCCUAAGCCGCCCUUU